AAUGAACGCUGGCGGCAGGCCUAACACAUGCAAGUCGAACGGUAACAGGAUGUGCUUGCACAUCGCUGACGAGUGGCGGACGGGUGAGUAAUGCUUGGGAAUUUUGCCUUUGCGAGGGGAGUAACAGUUGGAACGACUGCUAAUACCGCAUAACGUCUACGGACCGAAAGGGGCGUUCGCGUCUCGCGUGAAGAGAAGACCCAACGUAGAGAUUAG
rnacentral:rRNA from 1 species